UAUGUCUUCAUCUAGAUGGUCCA
rnacentral:siRNA from 1 species